AGUGAACGCUGGCGGUAGGCCUAACACAUGCAAGUCGAACGGCAGCACAGUAAGAGCUUGCUCUUACGGGUGGCGAGUGGCGGACGGGUGAGGAAUACAUCGGAAUCUACUUUUUCGUGGGGGAUAACGUAGGGAAACUUACGCUAAUACCGCAUACGACCUACGGGUGAAAGCAGGGGAUCUUCGGACCUUGCGCGAUUGAAUGAGCCGAUGUCGGAUUAGCUAGUUGGCGGGGUAAAGGCCCACCAAGGCGACGAUCCGUAGCUGGUCUGAGAGGAUGAUCAGCCACACUGGAACUGAGGCACGGUCCAGACUCCUACGGGAGGCAGCAGUGGGGAAUAUUGGACAAUGGGCGCAAGCCUGAUCCAGCCAUACCGCGUGGGUGAAGAAGGCCUUCGGGUUGUAAAGCCCUUUUGUUGGGAAAGAAAAGCAGCAGGUUAAUACCCCGCUAUUCUGACGGUACCCAAAGAAUAAGCACCGGCUAACUUCGUG
rnacentral:rRNA from 1 species